rnacentral:rRNA from 1 species
UACGUAGGGUCCGAGCGUUGUCCGGAAUUAUUGGGCGUAAAGAGCUCGUAGGCGGUCUGUCGCGUCGGCUGUGAAAACCUGGGGCUCAACUCCAGGCCUGCAGUCGAUACGGGCAGACUAGAGUUCGGUAGGGGAGACUGGAAUUCCUGGUGUAGCGGUGAAAUGCGCAGAUAUCAGGAGGAACACCCGUGGCGAAGGCGGCUCUCUGGGACGGUACUGACGCUGAGACGCGAAAGCGUGGGGAGCGAACAGG